UGCAUCGAUGAAGAACGCAGCGAAAUGCGAUACGUAAUGUGAAUUGCAAAUUCAGUGAAUCAUCGAGUCUUUGAACGCACAUUGCGCCCCCUGGUAUUCCGGGGGGCAUGCCUGUCCGAGCGUCAUUGCUGCCCUCAAGCCCGGCUUGUGUGUUGGGCCCCGUCCUCCGAUUCCGGGGGACGGGCCCGAAAGGCAGCGGCGGCACCGCGUCCGGUCCUCGAGCGUAUGGGGCUUUGUCACCCGCUCUGUAGGCCCGGCCGGCGCUUGCCGAUCAACCCAAAUUUUUAUCCAGGUUGACCUCGGAUCAGGUAGGGAUACCCGCUGAACUUAAGCAUAUCAAUAAGGCGGAGGAA
rnacentral:rRNA from 2 species